CUCAGAGCAAGGAUCGAAAGCUACCCAGGUUAGCCCAAGUAGACCUCACGCUGCCACCCCCGCCCUCGCCCCAGCCAGGAGCUCUGUAAGUGACGCAUUCCCAGUGGCCUCCCUGAGUGCCCACCUUCCAGGGUAGAACCUGGUCACCUGCCCCAACCCUCCCAGAGGACAGAUUCCACUGCCUCCCCAGCAGUGGGACCGGGGCCGCACUGAGGAGGACAGGCCAUCUGCCCAGCCCCUCCCGAAGAAGUGCCUCUUCCAGGGCACUGGGCUGGGAGGAGCAUCUUCAGGCACCCAAGACCUCCGCUGCCACGGCUCUGCCUGCCGGCUGUGGCCUCCUCUCUGCCAGCACUGCUUAAACAGAUGAAUAAAAAUAAAAGCCACGUGGCCCAUGGAGAGAUGUAGGGAAAAGAACCGUAGUUGAAGAGGAGGGAAAACGCAACACAAAACGGGCAGCAGGAGCUGGGCAAAAGAUGAAGUAAACCAAGACGUGAUCAAGAAGAGAAGCAAAAGAGUGAGAUCCCCUCCUAGACCUCAAGCCCAGCCAAGGCCCCACAGCUCCACGCCACACGGAGGAAGCCCCACACCGGCUCACACAGGAAGAA